rnacentral:rRNA from 1 species
GAGUUUGAUCAUGGCUCAGGAUGAACGCUGGCGGCGUGCCUAAUACAUGCAAGUCGAGCGAACAGACGAGGAGCUUGCUCCUCUGACGUUAGCGGCGGACGGGUGAGUAACACGUGGAUAACCUACCUAUAAGACUGGGAUAACUUCGGGAAACCGGAGCUAAUACCGGAUAAUAUAUUGAACCGCAUGGUUCAAUAGUGAAAGACGGUUUUGCUGUCACUUAUAGAUGGAUCCGCGCCGCAUUAGCUAGUUGGUAAGGUAACGGCUUACCAAGGCAACGAUGCGUAGCCGACCUGAGAGGGUGAUCGGCCACACUGGAACUGAGACACGGUCCAGACUCCUACGGGAGGCAGCAGUAGGGAAUCUUCCGCAAUGGGCGAAAGCCUGACGGAGCAACGCCGCGUGAGUGAUGAAGGUCUUCGGAUCGUAAAACUCUGUUAUUAGGGAAGAACAAAUGUGUAAGUAACUAUGCACGUCUGACGUACCU